GAUGAACGCUGGCGGCGUGCCUAAUACAUGCAAGCCGAGCGAACGGACGAGAAGCUUGCUUUUCUGAUGUUAGCGGCGGACGGGUGAGUAACACGUGGAUAACCUACCUAUAAGACUGGGAUAACUUCGGGAAACCGGAGCUAAUACCGGAUAAUAUUUUGAACCGCAUGGUUCAAAAGUGAAAGACGGUCUUGCUGUCACUUAUAGAUGGAUCCGCGCUGCAUUAGCUAGUUGGUAAGGUAACGGCUUACCAAGGCAACGAUGCAUAGCCGACCUGAGAGGGUGAUCGGCCACACUGGAACUGAGACACGGUCCAGACUCCUACGGGAGGCAGCAGUAGGGAAUCUUCCGCAAUGGGCGAAAGCCUGACGGAGCAACGCCGCGUGAGUGAUGAAGGUCUUUGGAUCGUAAAACUCUGUUAUUAGGGAAGAACAUAUGUGUAAGUAACUGUGCACAUCUUGACGGUACCUAAUCAGAAAGCCACGGCUAACUACGUG
rnacentral:rRNA from 1 species